AAUCAUAAUGGGGCUGUCCCCAGAAGUACAAUUUUUGCAUCAUAUGCACUUUCAAUUAACCCCUUUAUCGCCCAGUCUCAAACAAGACUACGGUGCCCAAUUAGUGGCCUUGUUUAAUGACUUCA